GGUGGCUCAGGGGCAGAGCAUCUGCUUUGGAAGCAGAAGGUCCCAGGUUCGAUCCCCGGCAUCUCCA